AGAAAUCAACACUUGGUGUUCCCCAGUGAAAGCAGCGAGUUUUCACGGUGACUGUGGUGACGAAUCACCCGAAGAAAA